rnacentral:rRNA from 1 species
GGAAUCUUGCACAAUGGAGGAAACUCUGAUGCAGCGAUGCCGCGUGAGUGAAGAAGGCCUUUGGGUUGUAAAGCUCUUUUGUAGGGGAAGAUAAUGACUGUACCCUAAGAAUAAGGUCCGGCUAACUUCGUGCCAGCAGCCGCGGUAAUACGAAGGGACCUAGCGUAGUUCGGAAUUACUGGGCGUAAAGCGCGCGUAGGCCGUUGAGUUAGUUAAUUGUGAAAUCCCAAAGCUUAACUUUGGAACUGCAAUUAAAACUGCUCGACUAGAGUUUGAUAGAGGAAAGCGGAAUACAUAGUGUAGAGGUGAGAUUCGUAGAUAUUAUGUAGAACACCAGUUGCGAAGGCGGCUUUCUGGAUCAACACUGACGCUGAGGCGCGAAAGUAUGGGUAGCAAAGAGGAUUAGAUACCCUCGUAGUCCAUACCAUAAACGAUGAUUGCUAGAUGUUGGAAAUUUAUUUUCAGUAUCGCAGCUAACGCAUUAAGCAAUCCGCCUGGGGAGUACGACCGCAAGGUUAAAACUCAAAUGAAUUGACGG